rnacentral:rRNA from 1 species
UACGUAGGGGGCUAGCGUUGUCCGGAAUCAUUGGGCGUAAAGCGCGCGUAGGCGGCCCGGUAAGUCCGCUGUAAAAGUCAGAGGCUCAACCUUUGAAUGUCAGUGGAUACUGCCGGGCUAGAGUCCGGAAGAGGCGAGUGGAAUCCUGGUGUAGCGGUGGAAUGCGCAGAUAUCAGGAGGAACACCGACGGCGAAGGCAGCUCGCUGGGACGGUACUGACGCUGAGGCGCGAAAGCGUGGGGAGCGAACAGG